AGAUUGAACGCUGGCGGCAUGCCUAACACAUGCAAGUCGAACGGGAGUAGCAAUACUCUAGUGGCGGACGGGUGAGGAAUACGUAGGAAUUUGCCCUUAAGUGGGGGAUAACCCGGGGAAACCCGGAUUAAUACCGCAUGACCUCGAAAGAGCAAAGUGGGGGAUCGCAAGACCUCACGCUUUUGGAGAAGCUACGUCGGAUUAGCUAGUUGGUGAGGUAAUGGCUCACCAAGGCGACGAUCCGUAACUGGUCUGAGAGGAUGAUCAGUCACACCGGAACUGAGACACGGUCCGGACU
rnacentral:rRNA from 1 species